rnacentral:rRNA from 1 species
UACGGAGGGUGCAAGCGUUGCUCGGAAUCAUUGGGCGUAAAGCGUACGCAGGCUGUUCGUUAAGUCGGGUGUGAAAGCCCGGGGCUCAACCCCGGAACGGCGCCCGAAACUGGCGAGCUUGAAUGCGGGAGAGGGAAGCGGAAUUCCUGGUGUAGAGGUGAAAUUCGUAGAUAUCAGGAGGAACACCGGUGGCGAAGGCGGUUCUCUGGGCCUUACCUGACGCUGAGGAGCGAAAGCGUGGGGAGCGAACAGG